CGCCUCUUGAUUAACUAUAAGAGGUCCAGCCUGCCCAGUGACUCUGUUCAACGGCCGCGGUAUCCUAACCGUGCGAAGGUAGCGUAAUCACUUGUUCUUUAAAUGAGGACUUGUAUGAAUGGCACCACGAGGGUUAUACUGUCUCCUUUUUCUAAUCAGUGAAACUAAUCUCCCCGUGAAGAAGCGGGGAUAAAAAUAUAAGACGAGAAGACCCUAUGGAGCUUUAAACUUAAUAGCAAAUACUAGCCACAUAUCAACUUCCAGAAAAUCAACUGUUACUUUAGUACUAUGACUAUUAGUUUUAGGUUGGGGUGACCGCGGAGUAAAAAUUAACCUCCAUAUUGAACGGGAUUUAUCCCUGAACCAAGAGCCACAACUCCAAGCACCAACAAAUUGACAUUAAUUGACCCAAUAUUUUGAUCAACGAACCAAGUUACCCUAGGGAUAACAGCGCAAUCCACUUCAAGAGCUCCUAUCGACAAGUGGGUUUACGACCUCGAUGUUGGAUCAGGGUAUCCCAGUGGUGCAGCCGCUACUAAAGGUUCGUUUGUUCAACGAUUAAAACCCU
rnacentral:rRNA from 1 species